rnacentral:rRNA from 1 species
UACAGAGGUCUCAAGCGUUGUUCGGAUUCAUUGGGCGUAAAGGGUGUGUAGGUGGCGCGCUAAGUCGGGUGUGAAAUUUCGGAGCUUAACUCCGAAACUGCAUUCGAUACUGGCGUGCUUGAGGACUGGAGAGGAGACUGGAAUUCAUGGUGUAGCAGUGAAAUGCGUAGAGAUCAUGAGGAAGACCAGUGGCGAAGGCGGGUCUCUGGACAGUUCCUGACACUGAGCCACGAAGGCCAGGGGAGCAAACGGG